rnacentral:tRNA from 1 species
GCCGGGAUGGCGGAACUGGUAGACGCACCAGAUUCAAAAUCUGGCGCUGGCGACAGCGUGCGAGUUCGAUUCUCGCUCCCGGCACCA